CAGUAGCCACGGGAAUACGAAGGGGGCUAGCGUUGCUCGGAAUUACUGGGCGUAAAGGGAGCGUAGGCGGACAUUUAAGUCAGGGGUGAAAUCCCAGAGCCCAACUCUGGAACUGCCUUUGAUACUGGGUGUCUUGAGUGUGAUAGAGGUAUGUGGAACUCCGAGUGUAGAGGUGAAAUUCGUAGAUAUUCGGAAGAACACCAGUGGCGAAGGCGACAUACUGGAUCAUUACUGACGCUGAGGCUCGAAAGCGUGGGGAGCAAACAGGAUUAGAUACCCCUGUAGUCCCUGUCUCUUAUAC
rnacentral:rRNA from 1 species